UUGCCUCAGUAGCGGCGAGUGAAGCGGCAAAAGCUCAAAUUUGAAAUCUGGCGUCUUUGGCGUCCGAGUUGUAAUUUGAAGAAGGUAUCUUUGGGCCCGGCUCUUGUCUAUGUUCCUUGGAACAGGACGUCACAGAGGGUGAGAAUCCCGUGCGAUGAGAUGACCCGGGUCUGUGUAAAGUUCCUUCGACGAGUCGAGUUGUUUGGGAAUGCAGCUCUAAGUGGGUGGUAAAUUCCAUCUAAAGCUAAAUAUUGGCGAGAGACCGAUAGCGAACAAGUACAGUGAUGGAAAGAUGAAAAGAACUUUGAAAAGAGAGUGAAAAAGUACGUGAAAUUGUUGAAAGGGAAGGGCUUGAGAUCAGACUUGGUAUUUUGCAUGUUGCUCUCUCGGGGGCGGCCGCUGCGGUUUACCGGGCCAGCAUCGGUUUGGAGCGGCAGGAUAAUGGCGGAGGAAUGUGGCACGGCUUCUGCUGUGUGUUAUAGCCUCUGACGAUACUGCCAGCCUAGACCGAGGACUGCGGUUUUUUACCUAGGAUGUUGGCAUAAUGAUCUUAAGUCGCCCGUCUUGAAACACGGACCAAGGAGUCUAACGUCUAUGCGAGUGUUUGGGUGUAAAACCCGUACGCGUAAUGAAAGUGAACGAAGGUGGGGGCCUAUUAGGGUGCACCAUCGACCGAUCCUGAUGUGUUCGGAUGGAUUUGAGUAAGAGCAUAGCUGUUGGGACCCGAAAGAUGGUGAACUAUGCCUGAAUAGGGUGAAGCCAGAGGAAACUCUGGUGGAGGCUCGUAGCGGUUCUGACGUGCAAAUCGAUCGUCGAAUUUGGGUAUAGG
rnacentral:rRNA from 1 species